AGAAAACAGGUUUGCCCGCUCUAAAUCAGUUUCGCGGUCUCUCUCAUUUUUCCACCAAAGCUGCAGAGAAAUUUCAUCUACUUAGUUGGAGAUUCAGGUCUAGCUUUUACGUUUUUAUUUUUCAGCUCCCAAGAGUUUUCAUCACCUGAUCUAGAGACCAUGCCCAUUGUUGCUAAAACUGAUGUAGCAGAAGCAACACCACCUGAUAAUUUUACUAUUGAUGUUUCUAAGUAUGAAGAUCAGAAUCUGGAGCCUGCAAAAGGAUGUUUGUUGUGCUAUGAAGGGAGGAUUGAUAGGAUUAGCUGCCGCCACGGUUGGGUUGACUUCUGAAGCAGCUUAGCAUCUUGAGUGCAAGCUUUUAGGAGUUCUUUUGAGCAAUCUCCAAAGAAGGCCAAGCAAGACCAUGACAAUGGCAACACUUAUGGAAAAGCUGGAGAAUCUGAUGUUAUAGAUGUGGAGUUUGAAGAAUUCUGUAAAGCUAUUGAGGCUAAUCUCUCUAUUGAACCAAUGGUUGAGAUUCUUGAAGCCAAUGACCAGACUCCUCUGGUCCAGAUCCUGUUGUUGUCACUAAAUGCCAAGACAUGCUAUUUUAUGGAUCGUUAGGGAGAUGCCCAAUUUGCAAUAGUAAAUUGGAAUUUGAUGCUAAAAGAUAUACUUGCAAAGGAAUGUACAGUGAGUGGUCUAAAUGCACAUUUAGAACAAGACAUCCAUCGAGGAGGGAGGAGCCAAUCAAAAUACCAGAUUGUAUCCUCAAAUCUGUUGAUUCAGACAUAUAUUUCUGGACCAUACAUUCUUUCUCUUUACAAUUAAGACUAGACUGCCUGUCUAAUGUUAUAUUUCUGUGUAUUUAUUUUAGUUGUAUUUCUCUCUGCAAUAGUUGAUAAAGAAGUAUCAAAUGACUCGAAAAUGGGAUGAAAAGCUUGGUUUUGAAGAAGAUGAGGGCAGUGAAGAUAACCACAACCAGAACAACACCAACAACAUUGAGAACAACAAUGCAAAUAUGCAAUGUGUUCAGGAUAGUUGUGGGGAAGAUUGUGUUGAAGCUGUGAUGGUGGAGACGGCUGGGGAGUGUUUAAGCUGUGCAUGACCAGUCCCCAGGCAUGUUGUGGGAGAAACUAAGUUGGAAGCUUCAAAAGAGGGUCGUACUCUUAAGGAUUUCAAGUAUGGAUGUGUUGGUUACUUAGUAUACUUGGACAAAUUCAUCAACUGAUAAGAUGGAUAAAGAAGCAGAAUUUCCCUUCUGUGUUGGGCUUGAGCAUGUCAGGCUUGAUAAUGCUUCAACCUCAACUGCCAAUCAGCUCAUUCCACUUACAACAGCAACCUAUACACCACCUCUUGAGCAACCGGAAGUGGUCAUUCCAAGGUGUAACCAGCCAUUGCCCCACUCACUGAUGCUUACUUUAAACCAUUGUUUGUUUAUAAGAUUUUAUAUUAUUAUUGAUUUAUUUCUAAAUGUACAUUGAUUCAGUUUUGAUUCCUUUAUU